GCAAACUUGGUCAUUUAGAGGAAGUAAAAGUCGUAACAAGGUUUCCGUAGGUGAACCUGCGGAAGGAUCAUUAUUGAAUAUACAACAUGGGGAUGUUGCUGACCAUCCAUUGGAUGGAUGGUAAUGUGCACUCCCCUAUUAUUCACAAAUCCACCUGUGCACACAGAGUAGGCGUGGAUUCAGUUUCAGUUUCCUUGCCUAUGUUUUUUAAAUACACAUGCUCUGUGAAAGAUUGUUUAUAUAAAAGGAAUAUUACAACUUUCAACAAUGGAUCUCUUGGUUCUCGCAUCGAUGAAGAACGCAGC
rnacentral:misc_RNA from 1 species